rnacentral:lncRNA from 1 species
CUCCCUUGGCCCUGGUGCUGGUGGUGGCAGUGACAGUGCGGGUGGCCUUGUUCCACUCCAGUCUGGCCGAGUUCAUUUCUGAGCAGGUGGAGGUGGUGUCCCCACUGAGCUCUUGGAAGAGAGUGGUUGAAGGCCUUUCACUCUUGGACUUGGGAGUAUCUCCAUAUUCUGGAGCAAUAUUUCAUGAAACUCCAUUAAUAAUAUACCACUUUCGCUUCCUAAUUGACUAUGCUGAAUUGGUGUUUAUGAUAACUGAUGCACUCACUGCUAUUGCCCUGUAUUUUGCAAUCCAGGACUUCAAUAAAGUUGUGUUUAAAAAGCAGAAACUCCUCCUAGAACUGGACCAGUAUGCCCCAGAUGUGGCCGAACUCAUCCGAACCCCUAUGGAAAUGUGUUACAUCUCUCUGAAAGUGGACCUGUUGCAGUGCUUUCCUCAGUGCUAUUUUUCUUGCCUUAGCGACAUACCAGUCUCUAUACCCACUCACCUUGUUUGUCCCAGGACUUC